UCCGUAGGUGAACCUGCGGAAGGAUGUGGCCUC
rnacentral:rRNA from 1 species